rnacentral:rRNA from 1 species
CCAGACUCCUACGGGAGGCAGCAGUGGGGAAUAUUGCACAAUGGGCGCAAGCCUGAUGCAGCCAUGCCGCGUGUAUGAAGAAGGCCUUCGGGUUGUAAAGUACUUUCAGCGGGGAGGAAGGCGAUAAGGUUAAUAACCUUGUCGAUUGACGUUACCCGCAGAAGAAGCACCGGCUAACUCCGUGCCAGCAGCCGCGGUAAUACGGAGGGUGCAAGCGUUAAUCGGAAUUACUGGGCGUAAAGCGCGCGCAGGCGGGCUGGCAAGUCGGGUGUGAAAUGCCCGGGCUCAACCUGGGGACGGCAUUCGAAACUGGCAGGCUGGAGUCUUGUAGAGGGGGGGAGAAUUCCAGGUGUAGCGGUGAAAUGCGUAGAGAUCUGGAGGAAUACCGGUGGCGAAGGCGGCCCCCUGGACAAAGACUGACGCUCAGGUGCGAAAGCGUGGGGAGCAAACAGGAUUAGAUACCCUCGUAU